rnacentral:rRNA from 1 species
GACGAACGCUGGCGGCGUGCUUAACACAUGCAAGUCGAACGAAGUGGAGAACGGGUGAGUAACGCGUAAUCAACCUGCCCUUCAGAGGGGGACAACAGUUGGAAACGACUGCUAAUACCGCAUGAUGAAGGCGGGGAUUGCGUCUGAUUAGCUAGUUGGAGGGGGAACGGCCCACCAAGGCGAGGAUCAGUGGCCGGUCUGAGCGGAGGAACGGCCACAUUGGGACUGAGACACGGCCCAGACUCCUACGGGAGGCAGCAGUGGGGAAUCUUCCGCAAUGGACGAAAGUCUGACGGAGCAACGCCGCGUGAGUGAUGACGGCCUUCGGGUUGUAAAGCUCUGUUAAUCGGGACGCGGUACCGGAAUAGAAAGCCACGGCUAACUACGUGCCAGCAGCCGCGGUAAUUC